rnacentral:lncRNA from 1 species
ACCAAUAGUAGUACUGCAACUGACAUAGAAAAAGACGCUUAGUUAACGAGUUUAAUGGUCCGGAAUAACACACGGCUGCAAAUUGUUUUAAAUGAUAGAAUAAUAUCUAUAUUUUAAUUUCCGUCGGGUCGUAAAAAGUUUCUAUGGUCACAUUUUUGUAUUUUAUUCCUUUAAUGGGGGUACCCCUCAAUUUACGGUUUUGGGUAGUUACCUUAAAAUCCAAAAAUAUAUUUUUUGGUUAAAUUUCCCGCUAUUUUCGUAAAUAUUUUCUAUGCACAUAUCAUCAAGGAUCAUCGGAAUGAUAAAGACAUAAAUAUAAUACCAUCUCCAAGUAAAACUUUCAAACUUAAAGUUAGCUGUUUUUUAGGUAGAAAUUUAACGCGUUUUUCUUUGAAAACGAGAAAACAUAUGAUUCAAAAAUAGUAUUU